UGAGGAAUUUUGCGCAAUGGGGGAAACCCUGACGCAGCAACGCCGCGUGAGUGAAGAAGGCCUUCGGGUUGUAAAGCUCUGUCAAGUGGGAAGAACCUUUCUCGGUCGAAUAAGCCGAGAAACUGACGGUACCGCUGAAGGAAGCACCGGCUAACUCCGUGCCAGCAGCCGCGGUAAUACGGAGGGUGCAAGCGUUAUUCGGAUUUAUUGGGCGUAAAGGGCGUGUAGGUGGUCUGAUAAGUCAGGUGUGAAAGCCCCUGGCUCAACCAGGGAAGUGCAUUUGAAACUAUCAGACUUGAGUACGGGAGGGGGAAGUGGAAUUCCUGGUGUAGAGGUGAAAUUCGUAGAUAUCAGGAGGAAUACCGGUGGCGAAGGCGACUUCCUGGACCGAUACUGACACUGAGACGCGAAAGCGUGGGGAGCAAACAGG
rnacentral:rRNA from 1 species